UACGUAGGGCGCAAGCGUUGUCCGGAUUUAUUGGGCGUAAAGAGCUCGUAGGCGGUCUGUCGCGUCGGCUGUGAAAACCCGAGGCUCAACCUCGGGCCUGCAGUCGAUACGGGCAGACUAGAGUGCGGUAGGGGAGACUGGAAUUCCUGGUGUAGCGGUGAAAUGCGCAGAUAUCAGGAGGAACACCGGUGGCGAAGGCGGGUCUCUGGGCCGUAACUGACGCUGGAGGAGCGAAAGCGUGGGGAGCGAACAGG
rnacentral:rRNA from 1 species